AGCCGAGAUCGCGCCCUGCACUCCAGCCUGGGCGACAGAGCAAGACUCCGUCUCAAAAAAAAAAAAAAAAAAAAAAAAAAAAAAAAAGUUUAUCUAAUUAACUUGUCAAAUGUUUUGCUGAUUAUUUGUUCAAAUCUCCUCCAGAGGUUAUUUCUCCUUUUUCAGUGCAUUUAAAAAUAAUAUUAAUGAUAAUACGUAGUAUUAAUUAACAAAAACAUCAGCUGGGAACCUUCAAGGGUUCCAUAAAAUUGUCACUUUACGUCCUGGCUGCCUAAAGCCUUCUCCAAGACUUCUGCAAAUUUUUGAGCAACUUG
rnacentral:lncRNA from 1 species